UUGUCAGGCAAGAGACUGCAGCUUCUCUUUCUGUAUAUUCUGUUCUGGUCAAAGUAUCUGCUCCUUCAGGUUCUGUGGCCAACUUGAGACAGUAGCAUUUCAAGAAUGUCUUGGAUGAUGGAAGGGAAAGUCAGGUUAGGUGAUGAGGGAAGGGGGAAGAAGGUUAUGUAAACUUAGCUGAGGUCAUUAUCCCCUCAAAAUAAAAUGUGGUCACAGAUCACUCUCCACAGAUUUACUCAUGAUCUUCCAUUGCUCAGGCCUCUCUACUGCUUUUAACUCCACUUUGUCUCAGCAUCUCGUUGCCAGCCCUUUGAGAAAGAUGGAAAUUUCCACAUGGAAGCCAAAGGGAUGACUGAGUCCCAAGGAUGGAGAGAAGAAGACACAAGGAAAUUUCCCUCACAAAAGCUAUGACAGAAUGAGACUGGGAGUUCCCUGAAACUCGGAGGCAGUGGGGUCGCUGUCAGGGAAAGGAAACUAGACCUGGGAUUGGAAGUGCUGAGUUGGAAUCUAUGUAACUGUGGACAAACCACGUAACAUCCUAGUGCUACAGUUUCCUCCUCUGUAAAGAUCCUGAUGGAGUCAGCCAGCCCAGGACUUUGAAUCAUGGGGAUAGUAAUGCUUUUAGCAUCAUCCUAGGAAACAAGCCGUACAGAGAUGCCGCUGGGGAACUCCUGUAAGUGCUACAGCUACAGCUACUGAAAACUCAGAAAAGAAAGUUCCUGUCGCCACAGUCCUUGAUCCUGUCAAAUGGUUCAGCAUCAGAAACUGAUAUGAUCUUAUCAGUGGAAAUGACAUUAAAGAAGAGGCAUCACCAUUUGCUUUGUCUCUGCACCCUAAGGUUCAUGAGACUUUUCCAUCUAACUUGCCCCUGAAACCUUCCAUAUGUGUUAUCUUCCUCUUUAGAAUGGGAGCUCCCUGAGAGCGAGGGUUGUCUUCUAUUUGUAU